CACCCAGAAGCCCCUUUUAUCAUUUCUUAUAAAACCUGUAUAACGAUACUCUACACUAGGUUGUAUACCACACAUUUCUAUUCUCCCCAAAGAAGGCAUGAACAUAUGAGAAAAAUCAAGAACAGAUGACCAAGAUACAUGAAGAAAAAUUGGUCUGAUGCAGAUACAUAGUUGGAAAAAGGCAGAGAAGAUUACGGACACCUCGGAAGAAUCCCAGCGACUCCAGGAACCCAGAUUACACUUUCACAACUGUUACUUUAAAGAUGGUGAAAUAGCCAUAUCCCAUGGUUCAAAGCAGACUGCCUACCCUGUACCUUCUACCAUCCUAUAAACUGCUUUGAGAGAGAAAUAAACUUCGAUCUUCUUUGA